rnacentral:misc_RNA from 1 species
AAUGCACAGUGAGCAGAGAGG